rnacentral:rRNA from 1 species
AACGGGGGGGGCGAGCGUUAUUCGUCGUUAUUGGGCGUAAAGGGUAUGUAGGUGGGUUUUAUGGUUUAUCUGGCCAAAUUCCAGAGAAAAGCUCUGGCUGUGCUAUUUAAAGAAAAGACCUAGAGAUUGUAGGAGGUUAGAAGAAUUACUAAAGUAGGAGUAAAAUGUGCUGAUCUUAGUACGAAUACCGCACGCGCAGGCAUCUUUCUCCGCUGUCUGACACUGAGAUACGAAAGCAUGGGGAUCAAACAGG